GAUGAACGCUGGCGGCGUGCCUAAUACAUGCAAGUCGAGCGAACGGACGAGAAGCUUGCUUCUCUGAUGUUAGCGGCGGACGGGUGAGUAACACGUGGAUAACCUACCUAUAAGACUGGGAUAACUUCGGGAAACCGGAGCUAAUACCGGAUAAUAUUUUGAACCGCAUGGUUCAAAAGUGAAAGACGGUCUUGCUGUCACUUAUAGAUGGAUCCGCGCUGCAUUAGCUAGUUGGUAAGGUAACGGCUUACCAAGGCAACGAUGCAUAGCCGACCUGAGAGGGUGAUCGGCCACACUGGAACUGAGACACGGUCCAGACUCCUACGGGAGGCAGCAGUAGGGAAUCUUCCGCAAUGGGCGAAAGCCUGACGGAGCAACGCCGCGUGAGUGAUGAAGGUCUUCGGAUCGUAAAACUCUGUUAUUAGGGAAGAACAUAUGUGUAAGUAACUGUGCACAUCUUGACGGUACCUAAUCAGAAAGCCACGGCUAACUACGUGCCAGCAGCCGCGGUAAUACGUAGGUGGCAAGCGUUAUCCGGAAUUAUUGGGCGUAAAGCGCGCGUAGGCGGUUUUUUAAGUCCGAUGUGAAAGCCCACGGCUCAACCGUGGAGGGUCAUUGGAAACUGGAAAACUUGAGUGCAGAAGAGGAAAGUGGAAUUCCAUGUGUAGCGGUGAAAUGCGCAGAGAUAUGGAGGAACACCAGUGGCGAAGGCGACUUUCUGGUCUGUAACUGACGCUGAUGUGCGAAAGCGUGGGGAUCAAACAGGAUUAGAUACCCUGGUAGUCCACGCCGUAAACGAUGAGUGCUAAGUGUUAGGGGGUUUCCGCCCCUUAGUGCUGCAGCUAACGCAUUAAGCACUCCGCCUGGGGAGUACGACCGCAAGGUUGAAACUCAAAGGAAUUGACGGGGACCCGCACAAGCGGUGGAGCAUGUGGUUUAAUUCGAAGCAACGCGAAGAACCUUACCAAAUCUUGACAUCCUUUGACAACUCUAGAGAUAGAGCCUUCCCCUUCGGGGGGGGCAAAGUGACAGGUGGUGCAUGGUUGUCGUCAGCUCGUGUCGUGAGAUGUUGGGUUAAGUCCCGCAACGAGCGCAACCCUUAAGCUUAGUUGCCAUCAUUAAGUUGGGCACUCUAAGUUGACUGCCGGUGACAAACCGGAGGAAGGUGGGGAUGACGUCAAAUCAUCAUGCCCCUUAUGAUUUGGGCUACACACGUGCUACAAUGGACAAUACAAAGGGCAGCGAAACCGCGAGGUCAAGCAAAUCCCAUAAAGUUGUUCUCAGUUCGGAUUGUAGUCUGCAACUCGACUACAUGAAGCUGGAAUCGCUAGUAAUCGUAGAUCAGCAUGCUACGGUGAAUACGUUCCCGGGUCU
rnacentral:rRNA from 1 species